rnacentral:rRNA from 1 species
AGUGAACGCUGGCGGUAGGCCUAACACAUGCAAGUCGAACGGCAGCACAGUAAGAGCUUGCUCUUACGGGUGGCGAGUGGCGGACGGGUGAGGAAUACAGCGGAAUCUACUUUUUCGUGGGGGAUAACGUAGGGAAACUUACGCUAAUACCGCAUACAACCUACGGGUGAAAGCAGGGGAUCUUCGGACCUUGCGCGAUUGAAUGAGCCGAUGUCGGAUUAGCUAGUUGGCGGGGUAAAGGCCCACCAAGGCGACGAUCCGUAGCUGGUCUGAGAGGAUGAUCAGCCACACUGGAACUGAGACACGGUCCAGACUCCUACGGGAGGCAGCAGUGGGGAAUAUUGGACAAUGGGCGCAAGCCUGAUCCAGCCAUACCGCGUGGGUGAAGAAGGCCUUCGGGUUGUAAAGCCCUUUUGUUGGGAAAGAAAAGCAGCAGGUUAAUACCCCGCUGUUCUGACGGUACCCAAAGAAUAAGCACCGGCUAACUUCGUG